AAAAUAGAUACCCCGUGGUAGUCCACGCCGUAAACGAGUGAGUGCUAAGUGUUGGGGGGUUUCCGCCCCUCAGUGCUGCAGCUAACGCAUUAAGCACUCCGCCUGGGGAGUACGGCCGCAAGGCUGAAACUCAAAGGAAUUGACGGGGGCCCGCACAAGCGGUGGAGCAUGUGGUUUAAUUCGAAGCAACGCGAAGAACCUUACCAGGUCUUGACAUCCCGCUGCCCGGUAUAGAGAUAUAUCUUUCCCUUCGGGGACAGCGGUGACAGGUGGUGCAUGGUUGUCGUCAGCUCGUGUCGUGAGAUGUUGGGUUAAGUCCCGCAACGAGCGCAACCCUUGAUCUUAGUUGCCAGCAUUUAGUUGGGCACUCUAAGGUGACUGCCGGUGACAAACCGGAGGAAGGUGGGGAUGACGUCAAAUCAUCAUGCCCCUUAUGACCUGGGCUACACACGUGCUACAAUGGAUGGUACAAAGGGCUGCAAGACCGCGAGGUUUAGCCAAUCCCAUAAAACCAUUCUCAGUUCGGAUUGCAGG
rnacentral:rRNA from 1 species